rnacentral:rRNA from 1 species
UACCAGCACCCCGAGUGGUCGGGACGAUUAUUGGGCCUAAAGCAUCCGUAGCCGGUUCUGCAAGUCUUCCGUUAAAUCCACCUGCUCAACAGAUGGGCUGCGGAGGAUACUAUAGAGCUAGGAGGCGGGAGAGGCAAGCGGUACUUAGUGGGUAGGGGUAAAAUCCGUUGAUCCAUUGAAGACCACCAGUGGCGAAGGCGGCUUGCCAGAACGCACUCGACGGUGAGGGAUGAAAGCUGGGGGAGCAAACCGG